rnacentral:lncRNA from 1 species
CUUUUUUUGUUGUGUGUCUCGGUUGAGGGACCUGCUUCCUAUCCCCUGCCUCCCUGCGCUUAACGAACCCUCCUGUCCAAGUAGGUUACCACUGCCCUCUCAAUUUUGGCAGGGAAAAGCUCCAGUCCCCACUUGUUGCAUCUCUUGGACGAGUUCCGAAGAAAGAUGAGACCACCCACCCGGAAUAUAUCCAGCAAUCAAAGUACUCCAUGAGGCACCAUCUCUGUUAGGCAUAUCAUCAAACAGCUGCCUUUCACUGUAAUCCUACCACCACCGCAUUCCCCGAUGAAAAAUGCUACUUACAUCCCAACAGGAAUUGCAGGAAAGCAAGAUCAAUGUGCCCACAUGCACUGUGAAAAAUGGAUCAGCACCGCCUAAAUGAAGUAAUAACAAUCAGUCCAAUCUUAUGGUUGUGCAGCAUGCAAUUGCUGAUAUCCUUGAUCCGCGCAGCAGCGCCCAUAGGCAAAAAUCAAAUCGACCAACAGAUCUUCAUCUGGCCUCGGAGCAGAAUUUUGCAGCAGUACAUGAUAUGUGUUCCAACCUUCUGACGUUUAAUUUAAAAUAGUUUUCAUAAAAAGCUAAUAUCUUUUUGCGCAAGUUUAAUUGAUCAUAAAAAAAAUU